rnacentral:lncRNA from 1 species
GUGUUUGUUACGCAUUCUGGUAAAUGCGCGUACUUUGUUGUUUAUCUCCAGUAAUGACAAUAACGAUUCUCCGUCUUAAACUUUAUUGUUUAUUUACGUAUUAGGGUACCUGAGGUUUGAUUAUAAAUGUUGCUUGACUUGUUUGGAGAAGUUUAUUGGUAACGUUUGGGAUUCAUUUUGUAUGCAUUUUGAAGGAGGGAAACCGGUGGAUUAUUGAAUGAAGCACGCCAGCUAAACUUAGUUUUUGGGGAUAUAAAGAAGGACUUUAUCGAACAAAACAACCAUUUGUGAUGUAGCUGGGACCUUUUGGAGUGCCAACAGAAGAUCUUCAAAGGACCUGAGCCCUAGGACCAUGCCUCAGGACUACCUGGCAUGAUGACUCCUUGCUGUCCCCAGUCCACCUGGCCGUGCUGCUGCUCCAGUUUCAACUGUUCUGCCUGCGGCUAUGGAACCCUGACCUGUUCACCGGACGUGCUUGUUGCACCCUCGACAACUACUAUGAUUAUUAUUAUUUGACCAUGCUGGUCAUUUAUGAACAUUUUAACAUCUUUACCAUGUUCUGUUAUAAUAUCCACCCGGCACAGUCAGAAGAGGACUGGCCACUCCUCAUAGCCUGGUUUCUUCCUAGGUUUUUGGCCUUUCUAGGGAGUUUUUCCUAGGGAGUUUUUCCUAGCCACCGUGCUUCUUUCACAUGCAUUGCCUGCUGUUUGGGGUUUUAGGCUGGGUUUCUGUACAGCACUUUGAGAUAUCAGCUGAUGUACGAAGGGCUAUAUAAAUACAUUUGAUUUGAUUUUGAUUUGAUUUGAACCAUUGCAGAAAUAUUGCACAGAAAAAGUAUUUUGUUGACACAGCUUCUGAAAUGGAGUAUCACAUCAAGCAUUUCAUUAACUGCAAAACCACUCAUGUCAUCUACAGAUUGGAAUGUCCACAGUGCAAGGUGUUCUACAUUGGACGGACAAAGAAACGCCUUCAAGACCGCUUAGUGGAACACAAGUACGCCAUACGGGUAGGCAAUGAUGACUACCCCAUGGCAAGGCACUACAAGUCCUUACACCAUGGCAACCCUGCCUCCCUACAAGCUAUGGGUAUUAAUCAUGUUCCGGCCUCAA